CAACUUAAGCAGUUUAUUCAUUUUAGGCUUGUUGUUCAGAAACUUUAACCCAAGGAUCCUGCACUAGCAAUUAAAAUCAUUGAAGAGAAACCAUUCGUUUGAGCAGCUUUUAUUUACACUUUAAUUGUAAACAUGUUUAAUUUAUUAAGUAUGUUUGACAGUGGUUAUUGUAAUCCUAGUGAUGACUAAGUGAUUAUAAUGCAUUUAUAUAGUAAAUACAAGAGGUGCACAAGAAAGCAAGGUAAUCCUAGUGAUGACUAAGCUUCGACUCUGCUGCAUGAACUUACUUGUGUCAAUAUGAUCUUCUGCUUUAGUGGCAGCUAUGAUUAUGGUAGUGAAAACAUUUGAUAACUACUGAAUUUAAAUUGGAUUUUUUUUUGUCGAUAAUAGAUACUUGUGACAGACUUUGAAUUCUUUAGCUUGGACUAUUAGGAACUGGUGUAGUGCUAUGAAUGUAUGGCCUGCCCUUAUUGUUGAGACAAGCAAUGCUUUCAGGGCUUUAUACAGGGCAUUCUAACAUCAUCUGAAUAGGUGGGAUUUUUAUUUCCCUUGUGCACACUAUAAAUGAUUAAUGGAAAGAUUGUAGUACUUUUAUUACUACAAAUUUUAUCUAUUAAGUGGUAGCUGCUAGAUCUGUUAUGGUUUUCUAUGAAUCUGUUAGUCUUACUCUAAUUUUUAGCUCAUUAUAAGUGAUGUAUUCUCUUUUUCUAUUUAACACUUCAAUAAAGUUCAGUUCAUUCAUUCUCUAUCCUCUCUGAUUUUCUCAUUCACUUUCAUUUCUGAAUUUAACUGUUUGUUUUGUGGGAAAUUCAUAUGCUUAGAUUUUUCUUUCUUAAUAGGCUGAUAUGACCAUGUUAGAAGACGAACUACCAACAAAAAGAUGACUUUCAUCAGCCCUUGUCAAGGUAUAUUGAGAUGAUUUCUUUGGAGAAAUUCUUGAAAACAUUUGUAGUUGAGGCCUUUAGAAUGGAAGAAUGCAUUUCACUAAUUUUUGUAUACAUUUCUUGUUUUGUAUUUAGUGAUAACGGAAUCUGAAGUGGGCAUAAAUUAUGUUGUAAUAUGAUUUCUUAAGCCUAGACUAGUAGACUAAAUAUUGUAAUUACAUUUGAGUAAUUAAUAAAAACCUAUUUAUGUUACCUUA